rnacentral:rRNA from 1 species
GAUGAACGCUGGCGGCGUGCCUAAUACAUGCAAGUCGAGCGAACGGACGAGAAGCUUGCUUCUCUGAUGUUAGCGGCGGACGGGUGAGUAACACGUGGAUAACCUACCUAUAAGACUGGGAUAACUUCGGGAAACCGGAGCUAAUACCGGAUGAUAUUUUGAACCGCAUGGUUCAAAAGUGAAAGACGGUCUUGCUGUCACUUAUAGAUGGAUCCGCGCUGCAUUAGCUAGUUGGUAAGGUAACGGCUUACCAAGGCAACGAUGCAUAGCCGACCUGAGAGGGUGAUCGGCCACACUGGAACUGAGACACGGUCCAGACUCCUACGGGAGGCAGCAGUAGGGAAUCUUCCGCAAUGGGCGAAAGCCUGACGGAGCAACGCCGCGUGAGUGAUGAAGGUCUUCGGAUCGUAAAACUCUGUUAUUAGGGAAGAACGUAUGUGUAAGUAACUGUGCACAUCUUGACGGUACCUAAUCAGAAAGCCACGGAUAACUACGUG